GUCAAAAUGCAGUCAAUGAUAGCUUUAUUUUUUCAAAAGAUAACCACUGUGCCUAGCAAAACAUAAACUUGGUCAGGUUUUCUUAAAUCUAGAACUAAUGGUCCAUUCCUAUUUCAUUUGCAUAUAUAAAUAAUAAUUAAUAAAUAAUCAUCAGUAGGGAAACAGGCACUAGAAUACUGUGUACAUAUAUUUUCUUGCAGCAAACCAUUGCACUAUUACAUUGCAUUGUGGAGGAAGCUACAUGAAAUGCAUUAAAGCAAUCCCAUUUCAUCCAUAACUCUCAACAAAAAACAUGUUUGGAAAUACCUUGGCAUGUCUUUUUAAGCCUCCAGGACUACAGUAAUGAUAUCAUACAUGGGAAUAGCAACUCUAGCCAAAAUGCUUCCAUAUCAUGCAUACAGACACACACACGCACACACACACAGCACUGGAGAUAGCAUCCAUGACAUGGUGCAGUGCGUAAUCAGCACACAGCAGGCUGGGACAGUGUGGGGUGGGGAAAUUUGGAUACAAGAGCAAACUUGUGUUCUUUCAGAAUAGACGCAGGAUUCUCUGGUACCUUCACAGAGGAAAAAAAUUUACAGGACCUGCUUGAUACAUUCUAAAUUGUAUAAGGAGAAGGAAAAAGUGCAUCAUAUCAGGAGGCACACAAUGUUGAUCAAUUGAUGAAGGUAGGCUCUGAAAUUCUUGAAAGCAGAGACAUUUUUGCUUCAUUUGUUGUUAUACCACCCAACAUAAUAUGCGGAAUAUAUCAGGUACAACACAAUUGCUCCUUUCACAGCAUACUGAAAAACAUGUGUCAACUUGGUGGGUAUGAUACUGAAUUUCUUUAUCAAAACACUACGUAUAAAGAUAUGUCUUGACCACAUCAAAAGAAAACUAAAUCAAGAGGCAAUUAAUCACAUUCUACUGUUUUGGCAAUGAAUGUUUACUUGUGUAAGAGGGACACUAAGUUCUCUUUCUGAGACAAGAUACAUAACAGGAUAUGGCGUUUCUUCUUUUCCUUUAAGAAGUCUUGGGAAAGACUUUUAACAUUAGUACUUUGUGAAACAGUAAUGUUUAAAAAGCUGAUAAUAAUCUGUGACAAACA